rnacentral:lncRNA from 1 species
AGCUGCCCCCACUCAACACAUUCCUUCUCAAACCGGUCCUGUUCUCUUGCAGUUCCUGCUAGCUCUUCUCCUAUCCUGCCUCUUUCCAGCCAGUCUUCCCUUCUCAGUUCUCCUGCUUUUUUCUGAUGUCUUUUCUAGGCUGUGCAAGAGCUAAGAUGCCACUGGAGGGCACUUAGUAUGCAGGCAUAGAGAGAGGGGUCUAUUAGAUUUCCCACCUCCCCUGUCUAGAUCUGAACUGGGUCUCUCACCUCCUUCUUUGGACUACUCCAUCCCAAAUCCCUACUAUGUCUGCUUUAUUUUUCUCGCUCCCUCCUUCACCAACACUUUUCUUCUGGGGACCCAGCUCCUGCUUUUCUGGCCUCAGCAAUCUCCAACGGUAGCUGACCUGGGAAGGGAUGGACACCUUUGUCAGACCAAAUCUCAUUCCUAAUUGUCUACAGUUGUUUCUCAAUGGAUUUCUUAGGGCACCUUUAAUAUUUUGCCUCUUCUUGCUGACAUAAGCUCUUACUUUCUUCUGUCCCAAAUGUUGACUGUUUUGAAAAAGCUGAAGAGAAGAUUAUUGCUACCCUGGUGACCAUAAUGCACACAGGUGCAAGAAUCAGCCAGGAGGAUGAAGGUGGAAAUGGCCACAGAGCUCUAGACAGGAUUGAAGGCCAGGUCUCUAUUUGGAGAAUCUUUCCUUCCAAGUAGGAGGUGUCCUUGGGGUUACUGUCCUUGGUAGUGGGCUAGGGAGAUGGAUUGAAUGGAA